rnacentral:rRNA from 1 species
AAUGAACGCUGGCGGCAUGCCUAACACAUGCAAGUCGAACGAAGGCUUCGGCCUUAGUGGCGCACGGGUGCGUAACGCGUGGGAAUCUGCCCUCAGGUUCGGAAUAACAGCGAGAAAUUGCUGCUAAUACCGGAUGAUAUCGCGAGAUCAAAGAUUUAUCGCCUGAGGAUGAGCCCGCGUAGGAUUAGCUAGCCGGUGUGGUAAAGGCGCACCAAGGCGACGAUCCUUAGCUGGUCUGAGAGGAUGAUCAGCCACACUGGGACUGAGACACGGCCCAGACUCCUACGGGAGGCAGCAGUGGGGAAUAUUGGACAAUGGGCGAAAGCCUGAUCCAGCAAUGCCGCGUGAGUGAUGAAGGCCUUAGGGUUGUAAAGCUCUUUUACCCGGGAUGAUAAUGACAGUACCGGGAGAAUAAGCUCCGGCUAACUCCGUGCCAGCCGCCGCUGUAA